UAAGGAAUAUUGGUCAAUGGACGCAAGUCUGAACCAGCCAUGCCGCGUGGAGGAUGAAGGUCCUCUGGAUUGUAAACUUCUUUUAUCUGGGACGAAACACUUCUUUUCUAAGAGGCCUGACGGUACCAGAUGAAUAAGCACCGGCUAACUCCGUGCCAGCAGCCGCGGUAAUACGGAGGGUGCAAGCGUUAUCCGGAUUCACUGGGUUUAACGGGUGCGUAGGUGGGUAUGUAAGUCAGUGGUGAAAUCCCCGAGCUUAACUUGGGAACUGCCAUUGNUACUAUAUAUCUUGAAUACCGUAGAGGUAAGCGGAAUAUGUCAUGUAGCGGUGAAAUGCUUAGAUAUGACAUGGAACACCAAUUGCGAAGGCAGCUUACUAUGCGGUGAUUGACACUGAGGCACGAAAGCGUGGGUAGCAAACA
rnacentral:rRNA from 1 species